ACUCAUCCCUUCUCUGACUUAGGAUUUGAGCAUCUUUCUGUUAUGCUGUUGCCCCACUCCUAUUGCAAUACUCCCCUUCUUAAGAAAGUUUUUCUAGACUAAUGUCUAGAUUAAACUUCUUUUCUUUGACAAUAAUGAUGCCAUGACUUGGACAAAAUGCCCAUUGCCUCUGGGUCCUGCUUUCUUCACCCAGUGCUGCCUUAUUGGACUCCUUGUGCCUCUCCUUGGCUGGGGAAAUCAGAAUACACAGUGAGCUUCAACUGAGAAUCUAGAAGAGAGUAGAUGGAAAAAUAUUUUUCCCUCCCCUCCAAAUGCAAGGAUAAUCUUACACGAGUCCAGGAGGAAGGCUCAUUCCACACUAAGUGUUCUGAAUCAAAAAGAUGAACAAAAUACAGUGCCAUUCUUCAAGGACUUCACAGUCUACAGGAAAGGGAUAUAGUUAAACAAAUAACUGCAGAAUUGGAAAUUGGAGCUGAUGUGCUUAGAAGUGUUUUGAACAAGGGGCAUGACUGUGACUCUCUCUGCUUUUGCAAGCUUCAGGAAAACCUUUACUCACAGUUGAAAAUACAGAGCCUCAGGGUGAAGCCCUAACUUCCCACAGCAGAUGGGGUCUAUGAGGAGGAAGAAGUAGACGCAUGGACCAGUCCUGUUAUGAAGACAAGUUUCAUGGUGCUACUCUGUCUCCAUGAGCUCCUAUGGCCCAGAAGCUGGCAUCCUGUGAGUGGCAAGAAGGCUUUUGACCUCAAAUAUAUAAAACCAAUGGGGGGAGAAGGAAGCUAUGCCUCUUUCCACAAAGCCAAGCUUGUUAUAUUAUAACAUGAUCCACAGCUUUUGAUUUCAACUUAAUGUAUGAGAUCUGGAAUUAUUUCAGAAGUAUGAUUGAUUUUGAUCAGGUGAAGAUAUUUUAAAAGAAGUGAAUUAUCUCUUAUGUUACUUAAUUUAAUCCACAUUAAAGAUUUAUGACAAAA
ensembl:lncRNA LINC00861 long intergenic non-protein coding RNA 861